UUGAAAUUUUGGUUGAAAUUGGAACACAUGUUUAGCGUAGUAAUUCUGCUUGAGGGUGAAUAGGAUGCAUGAUAGAUUAUUUUCGGACCACCUCCCGUUUUUCUUGAAACGAGUUUAGAAUGGAUUUAUGCACUUGGUUAUUCGAUCUUGAUGUUUGCCGACUUGUGUACAAUUAAUUCCCCUUUCGAGUCGCUCUAGUGGUUUAAAGUCAUAUUUGACUAGAUGGUCCAAAUAAGGUGCAAAAGAGGCCAAUGUGCCCAAAUUGUCAUGGGGGUUCGGUUGCGAUUCAACACACUAGCGACUUUAGGUCUGCCGCCUGUAAGCUAGUCCCUUCAGGCUUCUUUUCUCACCUCUUCCUAGUUGUGGGUUGGGGUUUUUCAGGUAAACUCGGUCUAUUUGGAUGAGAGCCUUAGCCCGAUCAGGAUUGCAAUUACCCCCAUUUGGAAAGAUACCCUCUAAACUAUACUUAAAAUUGUGAAAAGUGAGCUUGCAAUUAAUUGAGUAACUCAAUUGGCUCACAUGUGUUAUAAUAUGUCAUGUAUAGUUAAAUUGUAAAAGAAGAGGGGAGUGCUUUUGAUCAAAACAUAUUAGUUAAAGUAAGCACUCCCUCCCUUAGGAAGGGAAAAAUACCCGGCCAGGACCAUCU
rnacentral:lncRNA from 1 species